GGUUUCUUAAAUAAUGUCAUA
rnacentral:piRNA from 1 species